rnacentral:lncRNA from 1 species
AUGAAAAUUUUAAUUACUAAUCCAUUCUACCUUCGUGAUGUCUGAUGUGAUCAAAUGAUUUUUUUUCUUUCAGUUCUCACAUCGCCAACUCCCAAUCAGUGGAAAACUCCACCAACUUGUAGGCCCAGGUGCCGCCUCCAGAGGCUCCACCCUUGUCGGGAGCACUGGUCAAUGCAGAAUAAUUCAACUUGCUUGACCAACAAGUCUAGAAUCUGACUACUACUAUUCAAACUAUGCAGCAAAGCAAUCCUGCACCAGCCAUUUCCAACCAUCUCUAGCCACUCCAACUAGAGUUAGAAAUCUCCCACAAUAGAUUAACGCUAGAGGAAGGGGUUGAACCUUCGACCUUGUGGUUAAUAGAUGCAAAAAUUGACCACAGACUUUGGGAGAUGAAUCAACAGAUUGAAGCCCUUCGCAAUGAAGCUUCAGCACGAGACGAUGACUACAACACUGAUCCACCAUUCAACACUCAAAUUAUGUAGGAACCACUCUCCAGCCACUUCAAAAUGCCAUAAUUGGAGAGCUAUGAUGGG